GUAGUUGUUGGUGGGGUAGGUGUAGUUGUUUUGGUUGUAGUUGUCUCUGGUGUUGUAGUGGGAGUUGUAGUUGUAGUUGUUGUAGUUGUCUCUGGAGUUGGAGUGGGAGGUGUGGUUGUUUUGGUUGUAGUUGUCUCUGGAGUUGUAGUGGGAGGUGGAGUUGUAGUUGUUGUAGUUGUCUCUGGAGUUGUAGUGGGAGGUGUAGUUGUGGUUGUAGGAGGCUUUGUAGUUGUCGGAGUGGGAGGUGUAGUUGUAGUUGUUGUAGUUGGCUCUGGAGUUGGAGUGGUAGGUGUCGGUGUAGUUGUGGUUGUAGGUGGCUUUGUAGUUGUCGGAGGUGUAGUUGUAGUUGUAGGAGGCUUUGUAGUUGUCG